UACGAAGGGGGCUAGCGUUGCUCGGAAUCACUGGGCGUAAAGCGCGUGUAGGCGGCUCGGUAAGUCUGCUGUGAAAGUCCAGGGCUCAACCCUGGGAUGCCGGUGGAUACUGUCGAGCUCGAGUCCGGAAGAGGCGAGUGGAAUUCCUGGUGUAGCGGUGAAAUGCGCAGAUAUCAGGAGGAACACCAAUGGCGAAGGCAGCUCGCUGGGACGUGACUGACGCUGAGACGCGAAAGCGUGGGGAGCAAACAGG
rnacentral:rRNA from 1 species